AAAAAUUUUCAUAGGUAAAUUGUUUAAGCUUUUAAAUUUUUUUUUCUUCUUAUUAUUAUCGACUAAAUACAAGUUCGUAGGUAAUUACCAAUGAAAAUUUGUGCAAUUAAAAUUUUUUAAGCUUUUGAAAUUUUUCCUUUUUAUUUCCUUUUUAAUAUUAUCAGCCAAAUAUGAGUUCGUUGAUACUUACUGACGAUAGAUUUUCGUAGGUAAUUUAUUUUAAAAUUUUAUUUUUUAUAUUUUUCUUAAUACUACUGAUCAAAUGCAAGGUCGUUAGUAUUUGCUAAUAAAACAUGUUCGUGGGUAAUUUAUUUAUCUUUUUAUAUUUUUUCUUCUUUUUAAUAUUACAGAUGAAACUAUAAGUUUAUUGAUAAUUACCGGAAAAAAAAAUUUAUAGACAAAAUUUUCUGAAUUUUUUAAUUUUCUUUUUGAUAUUAGUGACAAAAAAAGAGUUGGUUAGUAAUUACAUCGAAUUUGUUCAUCACUAUGUUUUUUAUUUAAUCGCAAAUUUUGCCGCAACUAUUUGGUGCCAUCUUUACCUAUGAAAUUCUGUCGUCAAUAAAGGUUUUGUGGCUAAUUGAUCGGUAAUUUUGUCAGUAUAAAUUGAUUUACAUUUUAAUUCUCCUGACUCUCCUUUUUUGUCAGUAAAUUACCAGUAAAAUUAUGUGGUCGGUAAGUUUCAUAUAUAUAUAUAUAU
rnacentral:misc_RNA from 1 species